rnacentral:antisense_RNA from 3 species
CUUCACCGAGCCGAGCAGCAACGGCCGGUCCCCGUGCCGGUCCUGGCCGUACGUGGCGAGGAGGGCCUGGGCCUC